rnacentral:rRNA from 1 species
AAACACUGUUGUAAGAGAAGAAUGACAUGAGAGUAACUGUUCAGUGUGGGACGGUAUUCUACCAGAAGGAACGGCUAAAUACGUGCCAGCAGCCGCGGUAAUACGUAUGUUCCAAGUGUUAUCCGGAUUUAUUGGGCGUAAAGCGAGCGCAGACGGUUGUUUAAGUCUGAAGUGAAAGCCCACAGCUUAACUGUGGAAGUGCUUUGGAAAACUGGAUAACUUGAGUGCAGUAGAGGAGAGUGGAACUCCAUGUGUAGCGGUGAAAUGCGUAGAUAUAUGGAAGAACACCAGUGGCGAAGGCGGCUCUCUGGACUGUAACUGACGUUGAGGCUCGAAAGUGUGGGUAGCAAACAGGAUUAGAUACCCUGGUAGUCCACACCGUAAACGAUGAGUGCUAGAUGUUUGAGGGUUUACGCCCUUAAGUGUCGCAGCUAACGCAUUAAGCACUCCGCCUGGGGAGUACGACCGCAAGGUUGAAACUCAAAGGAAUUGACGGGGACCCGCACAAGCGGUGGAGCAUGUGGUUUAAUUCGAAGCAACGCGAAGAACCUUACCAGCUCUUGACAUCCUUUGACCACUUCAGAGAUGAAGCUUUCCCUUCGGGGACAAAGUGACAGGUGGUGCAUGGUUGUCGUCAGCUCGUGUCGUGAGAUGUUGGGUUAAGUCCCGCAACGAGCGCAACCCUUAUUACUAGUUGCCAGCAUUUAGUUGGGCACUCUAGUGAGACUGCCGGUGACAAACCGGAGGAAGGUGGGGAUGACGUCAAAUCAUCAUGCCCCUUAUGAGCUGGGCUACACACGUGCUACAAUGGCAAGUACAACGAGCAGCUAACCCGCGAGGGUACGCGAAUCUCUUAAAACUUGUCUCAGUUCGGAUUGUAGGCUGCAACUCGCCUACAUGAAGUCGGAAUCGCUAGUAAUCGCAGAUCAGCACGCCGCGGUGAAUACGUUCCCGGGCCUUGUACACACCGCCC